UAAGUUCAAUCUUCAUUCCAAUAACCAUGCGAUUGUUAUCCGACCCAUUCGUUCUCUCCCUACCAGAGCAGGCUACCGACCAGACCACCACCGCCACAACCGACGCUCUUCCAUAUCUGCUGGUGAUCAACACCGAUUGGCAUCGCCGUCGCUACCGAUCGUCUUCCAUUUGCUGAUGCUGAUCAUCGUUGAUUGAAGCGGCCGGCGGAUUCCAAACCAGAUGGAAAUAAGUUGAAGGAUACCAAAACUUAUAGUUUUCAAAAGAUAUUCUUAAUCACAGUACUAAUCGGAAAAGAUAUGAUCCACGGACCGCGAUGAUGCCGCAAUGUGGUGCUUGAAUCGGGAAAUGAUUGGUGGCCAAUAUACAAUGCUGAACGGCAACAGAAAUCUGCCAUAAAAGGGCACUGAAUGAGACAACAUUGUCAUGCGUCCUAGGGUAGUUUCGGGAGCAAAUCAUGGUGUAUGGAGGCAGCAGCAAUGUGGGUUGUUCGUGGUUGUGUGGGAGGUGCCUCGGAGCUGCAAACGGUGGUCAAAUAACAUCGGAUAGUAGGGGUAACGGCUAGCGUAACAGAACAACAAAUGGGAUAGCAACGAUGUGUAAUCAGGUGCAAACGGUGGUCAAAUAACAUCGGAUAGUAGGGGUAAUGACUAGCGUAACAGAACAGUAAAUGUGUGAUCAGGUGCAGUUUUGGGAUCGAUUAUGGGUCGAAUUAUGAGGAACAAUGCAGCAACAAGUCGGGAUCUUUGACAUUUGUGUGGGAGUGCUUUGCGACUGCUAACAGUUUCUAAACAACCAUUAUAAGCGAUAGUAGCGUCUGCCAGAAAAGAUCAUAAACAGGACGCCAUGUUCAAGUGAUUCGGGGUUGGUUUCGGGGCCGAAUCAUAGUUUACAAACUGUGAGUUUGUAAGGUAUUCAAAGGGUACGUUAAAGUGCCCAUCUUCUUAAGGGCAUUGGCUGGUGCUUUAAUCGACCAAAAGAGAGGGGAUCAUUAGAGGUGCUGCAGUUGCAACGCAAUCUCGAUUCAAUUCAUUGCCAACGCUAACUGUGUGCAGCUGUUACUGCCUGCCGUCAUUGACCUAUCUCAUCUUUGCCAUCAGUUCUAACCUCAUCUUUGUCAUGAGUUUUAGGUGUUAGCAUGCCAAGUUCUGAUAAACAUUCUGCAGGAAAACAUUUUAUACAACUUCGUUUUGUACAUUCUUGAUAUAUAGGCUAGGCGAUGUUUUAUGGAACGUUGAUGUAACAAACACUUGGGUUUUAUCACCUGUGAUGCAUAUGAAAUGGAUCCCCGCCGCAUCGCGGCGGGUGAUAAAUCUAGUUAAAAUCAUUACAUAA
rnacentral:lncRNA from 1 species